ensembl:lncRNA
CUUUUCUUUUCUUUUUUUUUUUUUUUUUUGAUCCUUUUCUUUGACUAAGUACCCAGGUUGUUUAAGUGGAUGUGUUCCCAGGAGGUAAAGACCAGAUCACAUAGUCCUCUCUCUUCACACAAACACAGAAUGGAAAAGACCUUCAAGAUCAUCUGGUUCCAAGCCCUCUGCCAUGGGCAGGGAACUUUGAACUAGAUCAGGUUGCUCAGGUCAUCCAACCACACUUUGAGCACUUCCAGAGAUGGGGCAUCCACAACUUGAUUGAGGAGCCUAUGAGAAUGUCCUGUUAUUCAUGAUUGUUUUAUGAUGCUUAACAGUCUUUUUGUGUGUGUGUGUGUGUGUGUUAUCACAGUCAGAAAUUAUUUAACAAUAUCUGGCCAAAACAGAAAAAGCCUGAGUCAGGUUUGUGCUAUGCAAGAUCAGGUCCGUGAGGCUACACACCUCAGUAAAAGCUGAAGGGGAGGGUGCAAGAGUAUGUCCAUGGGUCUGUUCGUUGCUGGGAGUUCACUGCCUCUGUGGCUAAGUUCUCUGCCUUACAGUGGUUAUUAACCUUUUUGAAGCGUUCAGUAGUCACUUAUCUCAGUUAGCACUUGCUUUCUUAACAAUUUCCAUCCGGAGAAGACUUCUCAAGCCAUCCAUCAGCCAGCAGUGUGUUUGCAGUCACUCAAAUUGCCUGUACCCAACAUAAGAGGGCACCAAACCCCUGCUGAUGCUUGGGGAACUCCGUGUGAGGACCGACCUAACAGCUGGUGCUUCCCGAAUAUUUUCAGUAAGUCAACAAAGAUAAUUAAUUCCUCCAGACUUCCUUUCUCUUUUCAAAAUAGGCUGCUUUAAGCAUAAGCUGAUCGUAGAAUCAUAGUUAUUUUGCCCUAUUAUUACUGGAUUUAUGUUCAUCUUUUAUUUCCCUUGUUUUCCUAGGGGAAUAAAAAUCAGUAAUUCAGUAACCAGAGACAGCUGGAUAUUGUGAAUUGAUCCCCGUAGUCCUUACAUCCUUGGUUCCAAUUGAAUUAAUAGUGAUACGUUGCUUUGGAAACAUAGUAAUUUAUAACAUUAUAACUGUAGCAGAAUAAUUAUACCAAGAGAGCAAUGCCAGUAUGUUUCCCUGCAGAGGUGACCCUGAGUGAGAUGAGAGCUAAAUUUACUUCAUCUCAUUCACCAGUUUUAUUCUACCCCUCCUUUCUCAGCCUUUGUUAAAAAAAAAAUCUUACUCUGGUUUUGUAUUACUAUUUUAUUCUACUCCUUUGGGAGAUUGCACUGCAAAAAUUGCAUUUCCCAGUAGCUGCCGUAAAAAGGUUAGAACACAGACUUUUCUUCAGGUAAAAGAUUCAAUAUAUUUGAAUCAUUCCAUCUUUCAGUGGUCAUAAAACAUUAAAUUCAUGUUGCUUAUAUGAAAUUUUAAAGUAGGAGUAUAUGAAUUGAUGCACACAGGAUGAUUUGUUACUGCACUAAAGCCAAAGUAACACUGAUACAAAUGAGAUAUUGAAUAGACAUUCUUUAUCAUAGUAUCACAUUUCAAAUGUGAGGAAACCACAUGUAAUUGUGUAAAUGGAACUGCAAAACUGAGGUGAAAAAUACUGCCCAGUUACAACAGGAAUAAGCCUGGUAAUUCAGUCUCAGCUGUGGAGGGAUCUCUUACAAACAAAUUAAGAGUUGAGAAAUCUCUUUAAUCUCUUUAGAGUCUGUAUGCUUAAAUUCUUCCUAACAGUCAAUAAACAUAAUGAAGUGGAGGCUUUAUAUUUAGUCGGGAUUAAUUUGUCUUCAACACCCUGUGUUCCAUUUCUAGGUAGCUUAGAGAUUUAAUAUGGCAAUUUUUUAUUCUUAUCACCCGUGUAAUCAUUUACAAAUGAUGACUGAGUCAUCUCUUCCUCUGGUCCUUAUCUAAACUGUAUAGAUCAGAACACUCAUCUUGCAAUGGAAAACUGAUAAGACUUUAAUUUCAAAAUGUUUUCAUAGCAGAUUUUAAUAAAAACAAACAAAUGCAGAAGAAUGUUUAUUGUGCUACAUUGAGUGACUAUAGGGUCAAGGUGUAAAGGUGUAAGAAUAGACCAGAAUGGAUACAAAGUUUUUAAUCACUCUUUGCUCUUGAAGUGCUUAGCAAAAUUUUCAUGCUGUUAACAUUUUUGACAGAGUCUUAAUCAGAAGAUCUGGCUGAAUUUAAGUGUCAGUAAAUGUCUAAUUGAACCAAUCUGAUAAGUUACUAGCAGGUGGUCAGUUCAUUAGAGCCAUCAAGUAUUUUCAGGAGAUUUCUGAGAUACUAACUUGUGCUUAGAACUGCAUUAGUAUCACAGGAGAGAAAAAAAAGGCAAAUAUGGUUCAAAGAAAUAAAAAAUCCCCCCCACACACAAACAGAAAAAAAAAAAACCACCACACCUGUGUGUGAGAUUUUUGUAGAGGUUCAAAAGAAUUGAUGACUGUACGUUGCCAAUUGGCAUAAACCAUAAUGAAAAGAGUACUGUAUUGGAUAUACAACCAUGAAAUCUAUUACAAGUCUUUGGAAGAAUCUAAGCAUGUAUGUCAGGAUGAUCUGGCUAAUAAAUUUUUCUUAAAUCUUAAAACGGCUUUUAGCCAUGUCUUAUGCUAAGUGUCCAAUUGUGUGAAAUGAAAAAAAAAGAAAGGGGUAAUUGUGGAAGACUAAAAUAUUAUAAAUUAAGUUAAAAACUGGUUCUAUCAUGGUCAAUCUAUUGAUAAAUGUUCUGGGAAUUAAUUUGGAGAGUCAGGGGCAGAAUUUACUAACAAUACUAAGCAACUCAGGCUUGAGAGUAAAGACAAAAGCUGCAAAGAGUUGCACAGUAUCAUGAGAUUGAAUGGGCAAUAAAAUCACAGAAGAAAUAUAACACUGAUAAAUAUAAAAUCGGGUACAAUUAGCAAAAAGAAGUCAAAUUUUAUAUACUGUAAUAGCUUUAAUAUACCGUCCCAUUCAGGAUAUUAUUCCAGCUCAUAAAAGAUGAUUCUAUGAAAAUAUCAGCUUUCAAGCUCAGCAGCAGUCAGGAAACAAAGAGAAUAAUGAACAGUACUAGGAAAGUACCAGCUGAUCAAGCAGAAAGCUUUGCAAUGCAGUGUUGUAAAUUCCUAGUGCAUGCUCAUUUGGAACUGUACAGGUGGUUCUGCCUCUUCUUCCCCUUUCUAAUCCCAGAAAAGCUAAAGCAAAAAUAGAAAUAGAAAUAGUAGAGCAGGGGAAGUGAAGUCUGUUAAAAAUCCUUGGCUGUAUGCAGCUGCUGUGUGGGUACAAUCAGCAUUUCAUCCCAGAAGGCCUCUCUCUGCACGCACAUGCCUUUCCCCUAUAGCUGCUGCUGUGAACUGCUUUGGUUUCUGAUCUCGGUGAGGAUGUACAGACGGCUGGCGUGCCACGGUGAGGUGGAGGAUUGGGCAGAGACAUGUGGUGUCUAUCAUGCAGGAGAGGUUAGCUUGAAAGGAAGAUAAGAAUUUGCAAACAUCUAAGCUUUUAUUAGUGAAGGUACUUAAUGAAUAGGACAUAGAGUCACAAAGUCAGUUACUUUGUCUUACUGAAAAUCAAAAGUUUCUGAAAAGGGAUCAGAGUUGCCCUCAUUCCUGUCUGAUCACCUUUGAUGCUCCUCCCAAGGGACAUGCUCUGGCUGCCUGUGCCACCUGUCCAUCAUCCCAUAGACGAAAAGCCUUAUACUCUCAGCAUCAGGUACUAAAAUAUAAAACAAAAAUUAAAUUUUUGGUAACACAUCAUCUCCUAUGGUCUAACACAAACACAAGGUAGUACAAGCUAAUUUUUGUUCAAAGACUGGAGUCCUUGAAAAUUACUUGAAUUCAAAUGAAGGUGCUCUUUAAAUGUUUUAAUGAUUUCCAGCCAAGACACAAUGCUGAUGGUUGUGCUGGUUUAUCUCAUGUGCAUUGGUAUAGCUGGAAUAAGCAGGCAGAAGAUGACUCUUGGCUCCCAAGUGAGGCUUCCCAUUGCAAUGUUCAUGGCAGUGCAAGUAAAUACCCAUCAUUGUCUCUACAGGGAUGCUGUAAAAGAGAAACUAAUCCUACUAGAGGCAUGUGCUUCAACAUGUGUAUAAAUCUUACAGUGGAAAAAAGUCUUUAAUUGAUUAAGGAGGAGACCUGGAUGUCAGGGGGAAAGAGAUGGGAGGGAUUCACCCUAGCAGAUUCCACACUGGCUCUGUAAUAAAGCUUGCCCCAUCUUCCUUAAUGCCCAGUCUAAUUUCAGAACUUUUAGUAAUGAAAACUAGAAAAUUGUUAUGAGGAGGAGAUUUAAUUAUAACUAAGGAUUGCCAUGAUUUGCCUCCAAGCUUUGCCUUAACAGGGCUUUGUGAUGGAUGAUGCUACCAGGUGAAAACAGAAAUAAAGUUUGAAUCAUAUUUAAGACAAUGAGAUGGAGGAGGUAAAAAUAUUUGGGAUGACUUUAGAGGGGGUACCUUUCGACUGAUUUGAAAAUGCUUGCCAGCGUUCUAACAGGGAUACAUGGUACAGCAGACAGUUCCUCAUUUUCAUUUUGCCCAAUCUCCUUGUCAUAGAUGUCCUUCUUUCUCAUUGACAUUUGAGUCAGGAGGAAAUACAGGCCACAAAAAAUAUUUACCAAACAUCUUUUAUGAAUUAAACUAUUAAUAUUAGUAGAGUCAAUUUGCUAUUUUCUUUACAGUUAAGUCUGAUGGUUUAACCCAUGAAGAUCUACUUCCAGAGCUCACCCAGCUGCAAAGGGCUGCCACAGACAGCUCCCACCAUCUACUUAGCUUCUCUCAAUUUCUCCAUCCUCACACAGAUUUUGGCAGUGCACAAGUCUUCUUCCCUGGACACAAUUCCCCAGCAAUGCACAAGAGAGGAGGAGAGAUUGCACACCAGUAAGCUCUGACAGCACUGGUGGGGCUUAUGUUAGAAAAAUCUCUUUUUAAACCAAGCAUUGCAAAGAAAGGCACAGCUUACCUAAAAAGGCAAAUUUGUUGGCACUCUAGGAGAGGCCACCUCUAAAGCAGAACUGUCCACCAGAAAGUUGCAAGGUGCUGUUAAACCCAUGCAGCUCUGUAGAGCAGUUAUGCAAGGUCUGGUGUGUCCCAUCUGCUUCUCCCUGUGCCCUUCCUGUUCUACAUGAACCAGAGGACUCUUCAGUCACCAUGGCUGCUCUCUGAGCAGCACCUUUAUUCUCCAGCACAGGAAGAAAUCACUACUCCCAAUGUAAAACCUAUAAUGAUCUGCAGACACAACUUUUGCAAGGAGAAAUAUUAUCUCUUGUUAGUGCAUUUGUGACAGUUUAAAAGCCUUUGGAUAUGUGAGGCCUUAUGUAACUUUCUUUUUUUUUUUAAUCAACUUUCUCACUUGGAACAAUAAAGGAUAUCACUUUUCCCAGCAA